GCACAAGCAGUGGAGUAUGUGGUUUAAUUCGAAGCAACGCGAAGAACCUUACCAGGUCUUGACAUCCAACUAACGAAGUAGAGAUACAUCAGGUGCCCUUCGGGGAAAGUUGAGACAGGUGGUGCAUGGUUGUCGUCAGCUCGUGUCGUGAGAUGUUGGGUUAAGUCCCGCAACGAGCGCAACCCUGUAUUAGUUGCUACGCAAGAGCACUCUAAUAGGACUGCCGUUGACAAAACGGAGAAG
rnacentral:rRNA from 1 species